rnacentral:rRNA from 1 species
AAAAAAGGUAAGCUACUAAGAGCGAAUGGUGGAUGCCUUGACUGGUAAAGGCGAUGAAGGACGUACUAGACUGCGAUAAGCUACGGGGAGCUGUCAAGAAGCUUUGAUCCGUAGAUUUCCGAAUGGGGCAACCCAAUGUAUAGAGAUAUACAUUACCUAUAUAGGAGCGAACGAGGGGAAUUGAAACAUCUUAGUACCCUCAGGAAAAGAAAUCAAUAGAGAUUGCGUCAGUAGCGGCGAGCGAAAGCGCAAGAGGGCAAACCCAGUGCUUGCACUGGGGGUUGUAGGACUGCAAUGUGCAAGAGGUGAGUUUAGCAGAACAUUCUGGAAAGUAUAGCCAUAGAGGGUGAUAGUCCCGUAUGCGAAAAACAAACCUUAGCUAGCAGUAUCCUGAGUAGGGCGGGACACGAGAAAUCCUGUCUGAAGCUGGGUCGACCACGAUCCAACCCUAAAUACUAAUACCAGAUCGAUAGUGCACAAGUACCGUGAGGGAAAGGUGAAAAGAACUGAGGUGAUCAGAGUGAAAUAGAACCUGAAACCAUUUGCUUACAAUCAUUCAGAGCCCUAUGUAGCAAUACAGGGUGAUGGACUGCCUUUUGCAUAAUGAGCCUGCGAGUUGUGGUGUCUGGCAAGGUUAAGCAAACGUGAAGCCGUAGCGAAAGCGAGUCUGAAUAGGGCGCUUAGUCAGAUGCUGCAGACCCGAAACGAAGUGAUCUAUCCAUGAGCAAGUUGAAGCUAGUGUAAGAACUAGUGGAGGACUGAACCCAUAGGCGUUGAAAAGCCCCGGGAUGACUUGUGGAUAGGGGUGAAAGGCCAAUCAAACUUCGUGAUAGCUGGUUCUCUCCGAAAUAUAUUUAGGUAUAGCGUUGUGUCGUAAUAUAAGGGGGUAGAGCACUGAAUGGGCUAGGGCAUACACCAAUGUACCAAACCCUAUCAAACUCCGAAUACCUUAUAUGUAAUCACAGCAGUCAGGCGGCGAGUGAUAAAAUCCGUCGUCAAGAGGGAAACAACCCAGACUACCAGCUAAGGUCCCUAAAUCUUACUUAAGUGGAAAACGAUGUGAAGUUACUUAAACAACCAGGAGGUUGGCUUAGAAGCAGCCAUCCUUUAAAGAAAGCGUAAUAGCUCACUGGUCUAGUGAUUUUGCGCGGAAAAUAUAACGGGGCUAAAGUAAGUACCGAAGCUGUAGACUUGCGCACAACUUAGAUUAUUUAAGUUUAGAAUAUGAGAAACUAAGUUAUAUGUUUAGUUAUAUUUUUACUGAUUUUUAUAGAGUAAAGAUAGAAAUAAAACUUAGUAAAAUCAGUAAAAAUAUUCUUAGACUAAAGUUAAGUAGUUUAAGUUGUGUGCAAGUGGUAGGAGAGCGUUCUAUUUGCGUCGAAGGUAUACCGGUAAGGAGUGCUGGAGCGAAUAGAAGUGAGCAUGCAGGCAUGAGUAGCGAUAAUUAAUGUGAGAAUCAUUAACGCCGUAAACCCAAGGUUUCCUACGCGAUGCUCGUCAUCGUAGGGUUAGUCGGGUCCUAAGUCGAGUCCGAAAGGGGUAGACGAUGGCAAAUUGGUUAAUAUUCCAAUACCAACAUUAGUGUGCGAUGGAAGGACGCUUAGGGCUAAGGGGGCUAGCGGAUGGAAGUGCUAGUCUAAGGUCGUAGGAGGUUAUACAGGCAAAUCCGUAUAACAAUACUCCGAGAACUGAAAGGCUUUUUGAAGUCUUCGGAUGGAUAGAAGAACCCCUGAUGCCGUCGAGCCAAGAAAAGUUUCUAAGUUUAGCUAAUGUUGCCCGUACCGUAAACCGACACAGGUGGGUGGGAUGAGUAUUCUAAGGCGCGUGGAAGAACUCUCUUUAAGGAACUCUGCAAAAUAGCACCGUAUCUUCGGUAUAAGGUGUGGUUCGCUUCGUAUUAGGAUUUACUCCGAAAGCGAAGAAACUUACAACAAAGAGUCCCUCCCGACUGUUUACCAAAAACACAGCACUCUGCUAACUCGUAAGAGGAUGUAUAGGGUGUGACGCCUGCCCGGUGCUCGAAGGUUAAUUGAUGGGGUUAGCAUUAGCGAAGCUCUUGAUCGAAGCCCGAGUAAACGGCGGCCGUAACUAUAACGGUCCUAAGGUAGCGAAAUUCCUUGUCGGUUAAAUACCGACCUGCAUGAAUGGCGUAACGAGAUGGGAGCUGUCUCAAAGAGGGAUCCAGUGAAAUUGUAGUGGAGGUGAAAAUUCC